UGCAGCUUUGUCAAAUUCAGUGCAUUCUCCUCAGUGGGUGCCACUGGCCAAAAUGGCUGCUACAAUGAAAGUGUAGUUCAUGGGCCCCAUGGUGCUCCAACAUAGCCCCUGGGAAUAAAUAUGCAUGUACUACACACAGAC